GUCGCCUCCUCUGAUCUGCUCCCUCUGGAGAUGGGGAAAUCCAGAGUAGGGGCAACAGGAAGUAUAUUCCCAAGAAGACUAUAGACCCCCGCACAGGGAAACGAUGGAGCUCAGGAGGGGCGCUGGUCUCGGGAGCCUGGAUCCACCAGUUAUGCAAGUGACGAACAGACGUGAAAGAAGCAAUGCCUGGGAAGGUACUCAAGAAAAAGCAUGAUGUGGUGGGGAAGGGCCACAGCCCAGCCCUGUCCCUGCAUCCCACGCAUUUCUACUUGAUU
rnacentral:lncRNA from 1 species